AAUCUCCGUGUUCUACUUUUGCAGUGGCCAAGCAGCUGUUCCAUCGCUUUUCCCCUAGCUUCCAAGAAAGGUUCACAGGGACUGAUUACAUAGUUUCCCUUUAGAGGAAAUCAAGUUUUCAUCACAAAGGAACUCCCAAGAAUACCACUUUUCGAUCAUACGAUCUAUAUCGUGUACAACUACAUCAGUGGUGUUCCCUUCUCUUGCUAUGAUAGCAGCACUGUAAAUUGUUGCCAUUCUUCCUGGUGCCAGAGGACUAUCUCCUCUCGGUCCAUCCACGACCACCACAUCCCAUUUUACUUCAUAAACUUCUCUUGGAAGAUCUGUCAACGCAAGUUGGCAUCUGGAUGAAUUCCUGAGGCCCGAGUUUGGUGCACAUGAUUUGUUUCCUCUGGCAUGUUUUAACAACUUGUAAGCUUUUUCUGCAUGAAGCUUGUAAUCAACUUUGUACAUCCGGGUGUGAUUUGAAUUGACUUUGAAUAUGCUCAGUUUGUAGGGAUCGUCCUCCAGAAAAACAUUCUUUCCACCAGGAUUGACUGCUGAGAGGUUAAGGUACUGUGAUUCUAUCCCAAAGAAAAGGAGAUUGCAGGGUACUUUUUUGGCAAUCAGAUUUGAAAGAAGCUUGAAUUCUUUCUCUGAAAUGGUAGCUUCAUUUGCAGAGGUUCUACUGUGAUUUCUUGAGAACCCUGAUAUUGGGCGUUGAAGCUUUGGAGGCAAUGCAAUUGCUAGAAGUGGAGAAGUAUAAGAUGUGGUAAGUGCAAUCCUAACAAGUCUGAAAAUGGAAAGACUAGACAGAAUCAACACGAGAACAGGUAGGAUUUUGUUUCUUGUAGAACUCAUGCCUUUGAUUCCUCUACUGAUUUUGAAGUUUACUGAUGGAUAUGGGUGCUGUGAAGGUGGUGAGACAGAGGGGGGAGAAAAGAAUGAUUCUGAUGGCACGAGUGAGGGCCAAUCUGCCACUUCUGGAGGCAUUUUCUUUUACUGUUGUUCGAUUUCAACCGCAUCAGAGCCACCAUCUUAUUCUUAUUGGAGGGCCACUGGUGGGGUGUUCCUGGGUGCAAGUUGUUAUGCCUAAUCACCUCUUGAGUGUGGAAUAAGAAAUGCUUUUGCU